rnacentral:rRNA from 1 species
UACACAGCGUGGAUCGGCGGCAGCGUCGGGUGGUGAGAGGAGACAGCCUAGCAGUAAACGGUGCUCGCUUGGUGUGGGAGGGUUCGACCCCUUCUGUGCCGGAGCUAACGCGUUAAGCGAGCCGCCUGGGAAGUACGGUCGCAAGACUAAAACUCAAAGGAAUUGACGGGGACCCGCACAAGCGGUGGAGUAUGUGGCUUAAUUCGAUGCAACGCGAAGAACCUUACCUAGGCUUGACAUGCUUGUCGUAUUCUCCCGAAAAGGAGAAGUCGCUUCGGGCGGACAAUGCACAGGUGCUGCAUGGCCGUCGUCAGCUCGUGUCGUGAGAUGUUGGGUUAAGUCCCGCAACGAGCGCAACCCCUGUGAACUGUUGCCAGCGGAUAAUGCCGGGGACUCUGUUCAGACUGCCCAGAUCAACUGGGAGGAAGGUGGGGACGACGUCAGGUCAGUAUGGCCCUUACGCCUAGGGCUGCACACGUACUACAAUGCCCAGCACAAUGAGAACCAAUACCGUGAGGUGGAGGCAAUCUGUAAAACUGGGCCCAGUUCGGAUUGGAGUCUGCAACUCGACUCCAUGAAGUUGGAAUCGCUAGUAAUGCCGUAUCAGCUACGACGGCGUGAAUACGUUCCCGGGUCUUGUACACACCGCCCGUCACAUCAUGGAAGUCGGUCGCACCCGAAGUAUAUGCGCUAACUCCUCGGAGAAGCAGUAUCCUAAGGUGAGGCUGGUAACUGGGAUGAAGUCGUAACAAGGUAGCCGUAGGGGAACCUGCGGCUG